UACGUAGGGUGCAAGCGUUGUCCGGAAUUAUUGGGCGUAAAGAGCUUGUAGGCGGUUUGUCGCGUCUGCUGUGAAAUUUCGGGGCUCAACCCCGAACUUGCAGUGGGUACGGGCAGACUAGAGUGUGGUAGGGGAGACUGGAAUUCCUGGUGUAGCGGUGAAAUGCGCAGAUAUCAGGAGGAACACCGGUGGCGAAGGCGGGUCUCUGGGCAGUAACUGACGCUGAGGAGCGAAAGUGUGGGGAGCGAACAGG
rnacentral:rRNA from 1 species